UACGUAGGGUGCGAGCGUUGUCCGGAAUUAUUGGGCGUAAAGAGCUCGUAGGCGGUUUGUUGCGUCGGCUGUGAAAACCUGCGGCUUAACUGUGGGCUUGCAGUCGAUACGGGCAGACUUGAGUUCGGCAGGGGAGACUGGAAUUCCUGGUGUAGCGGUGAAAUGCGCAGAUAUCGGGAGGAACACCAAUUGCGAAGGCAGCUUGCUGGGACGAUACUGACGCUGAGGUGCGAAAGCGUGGGGAGCAAACAGG
rnacentral:rRNA from 1 species